CAGCACCUCAAGUGGUCAGGAUGAUUAUUGGGCCUAAAGCAUCCGUAGCCGGCGCUGUAAGUUUUCGGUUAAAUUUGUACGCUCAACGUACAGGCUGCCGGGAAUACUGCAGCGCUAGGGAGUGGGAGAGGUAGACGGUACUCGGUAGGAAGGGGUAAAAUCCUUUGAUCUAUUGAUGACCACCUGUGGCGAAGGCGGUCUACCAGAACACGUCCGACGGUGAGGGAUGAAAGCUGGGGGAGCAAACCGGAUUAGAGACCCGAGUAGUCC
rnacentral:rRNA from 1 species